AUUGAACGCUGGCGGCAGGCCUAACACAUGCAAGUCGAGCGGAUGAAGGGAGCUUGCUCCUGGAUUCAGCGGCGGACGGGUGAGUAAUGCCUAGGAAUCUGCCCGGUAGUGGGGGAUAACGUCCGGAAACGGGCGCUAAUACCGCAUACGUCCUGAGGGAGAAAGUGGGGGAUCUUCGGACCUCACGCUAUCAGAUGAGCCUAGGUCGGAUUAGCUAGUUGGUGGGGUAAAGGCCUACCAAGGCGACGAUCCGUAACUGGUCUGAGAGGAUGAUCAGUCACACUGGAACUGAGACACGGUCCAGACUCCUACGGGAGGCAGCAGCGGGGAAUAUUGGACAAUGGGCGAAAGCCUGAUCCAGCCAUGCCGCGUGUGUGAAGAAGGUCUUCGGAUUGUAAAGCACUUUAAGUUGGGAGGAAGGGCAGUAAGUUAAUACCUUGCUGUUUUGACGUUACCAACAGAAUAAGCACCGGCUAACUUCGUG
rnacentral:rRNA from 1 species